UACGGGGGGGUAAGCGUUGUUCGGAAUUAUUGGGCGUAAAGGGCGCGUAGGCGGCCAUGCGUGUCUUCCGUGAAAUCCCUCGGCUUAACCGAGGACGUGCGGAAGAAACUGCAAGGCUCGAGUCCGGAAGAGGGGGGCGGAAUUCCCAGUGUAGCGGUGAAAUGCGUAGAUAUUGGGAGGAACACCAGUGGCGAAGGCGGCCCCCUGGGCCGGAACUGACGCUGAUGCGCGAAAGCGUGGGUAGCAAACGGG
rnacentral:rRNA from 1 species